rnacentral:rRNA from 1 species
AGAGUUUGAUCCUGGCUCAGGAUGAACGUUGGCGACGUGUUUAAGGCAUGCAAGUCGAGGGAUCGGCCCACUUUUACUUCGGUAAUAUCGGGUACGGACCGGCAAACGGGUGAGUAACACAUUGAUAACCUACCUUCGAGACGGGGAUAGCCCAGAGAAAUCUGGAUUAAUACCCGAUGGUCAUGGGGGGACAUAAGUCAUUCCCAUGUAAAUCUUUCGAGCUCGAAGAGGGGUCUAUGUCUGAUUAGCUUGUUGGUAAGGUAAAAGCUUACCAAGGCUCCGAUCAGUAGCAGGCGUGAGAGCGUGACCUGCCUCACUGGGACUGAGACACUGCCCAGACUCCUACGGGAGGCUGCAGUCAAGAAUAUUCCACAAUGCACGAAAGUGUGGUGGAGCGACGUCGCGUGCAGGAAGACGCCCCUCGGGGUGUAAACUGCUUUUAUAAGGGAAGAAUUCGUGACGGUACCUUAUGAAUAAGAGGUGGCUAACUCUGUGCCAGAAGCCUCGGUAAUACAGAGACCUCAAACGUUAUCCGGAUUCAUUGGGCGUAAAGCGUCCGCAGGUGGUUUGAACAGUCAGUGGUUAAAUCUUAGAGCUUAACUUUGAGACCGCCACUGAUACUAUCAGACUUGAGGUUGGAAGAGGCAAGCGGAACUAUCGGUGUAGUCGUAAUAAGCGCUGAUAUCGAUAGGAACACCAAAGGCGAAGGCAGCUUGCUAGUACAUACCUGACACUCAUGGACGAAAGCGUGGGUAGCGAAUGGGAUUAGAUACCCCAGUAGUCCACGCCGUAAACGAUGCAUACUAGGUAUUGUGAGUAUCGACCCUCCCUGUGCCGUUCAAAAAAGCUAACGCGUUAAGUAUGCCGCCUGGGGAGUACGGCCGCAAGGUUAAAACUCAAGGAAUAGACGGGGACCUGCACAAGCGGUGGAUCAUGCGGUUUAAUUCGAUGGUACGCGGGAAACCUUACCUGGGCUCAACUACUAGCUGCAAGCUCUCCGAAAGGAGAGCCUCCUUCGAGGGUGCUAGAUAGGUGCUGCAUGGUUGCCGUCAGCUCAUGCCGUGAGGUGUACCCUUAAGUGGGGUAACGAGCGCAACCCUCGUCGUGUGUUAAAUGUACACACGAGACUGCCUACGCAAGUAGGAGGAAGGUGGGGACGACGUCAAAUCAGCAUGGCUCUUACGUCCAGGGCAACACGCAUGAUACAAUGGCCAGUACAAAGGGUAGCCAAAUCGUAAGAUGGAGCAAAUCCCAAAAAGCUGGUCUCAGUUCGGAUUGAAGGCUGCAAUUCGCCUUCAUGAAGUUGGAAUCGCUAGUAAUCCCGAAUCAGAACGUCGGGAUGAAUACGUUCUCAGGUCUUGUACUCACCGCCCGUCAUACCACGAAAGUUGGCAACACUCGAAAUCUCUUUACGGGGAUGAAGGUGGGGUCAGUAAUCAGGGUAAAGUCGUAACAAGGCA